rnacentral:lncRNA from 1 species
CAAAUCUCCAAACCUCAAAAUCUAAGCACCAUGUAAACCUAUUCAAUUUGGAUGAUAUUUUAAAUUUUCUUUCUGAGAACAGGAUCGUAAAGAGGCAGAAGAAAAGAGCCAGAAUGAGGCAACGGGAUUAUCAGAAUGUUGUCCCUGCUGUACAGAAUGACGCCACCAACGUAGCUCCUCAACCCAAACCAAGGCCCCCUGAUCGCGUCCACUACUACAACCGAGCAGAUACGGUUGGUCAGUCUAUGUCCAUUGAUGAUGCCUAUACAGCUCUGGACCUGCAGACCAGGUCUACUGAUGAGGACUACACAGCUCUGGACCCCAGGUUAACUGAGUACAACAAUGUCUGAAAGACUUUCAAAAAUUAUACCUA